UACGAAGGGGGCUAGCGUUGUUCGGAAUUACUGGGCGUAAAGCGCACGUAGGCGGAUUAGUAAGUCAGGGGUGAAAUCCCGGGGCUCAACCUCGGAACUGCCUUUGAUACUGCUGAUCUCGAGUCCGGGAGAGGUGAGUGGAAUUCCGAGUGUAGAGGUGAAAUUCGUAGAUAUUAGGAAGAACACCGGUGGCGAAGGCGGCUCACUGGUCCGUAACUGACGCUGAGGUGCGAAAGCGUGGGGAGCAAACAGG
rnacentral:rRNA from 1 species